rnacentral:rRNA from 1 species
GAUGAACGCUAGCGGGAGGCCUAACACAUGCAAGCCGAGCGGUAUUGUUUCUUCGGAAUUGAGAGAGCGGCGUACGGGUGCGGAACACGUGUGCAAACUGCCUUUAUCUGGGUGAUAGCCUUUCGAAAGGAAGAUUAAUACUCCAUAAUAUAUUGAACGGCAUCGGAGAUAACUUAAAGAUUUAUCGGUCACGGAUGAGGAUGCGUACGAUGAGCUUGUUGGCGGGGUAAAGGCCCACCAAGGCAACGAUCGUGAGGGGUUCUGAGAGGAAGGUGCCCCACACAGGAACUGAGACACGGUCCAGACUCCUACGGGAGGCAGCAGUGAGGAAUAUUGGUCAAUGGUCGGAAGACUGAGCCAGCCAAGUAGCGUGAAGGAUGACUGCCCUACGGGUUGUAAACUUCUUUUGUUUGGGAAUAAAAGACGCUACGUGUAACGUUCUGCAUGUACCUUACGAAUAAGCAUCGGCUAAUUCCGUGCCAGCCGCCGCAGUAACAC